rnacentral:rRNA from 1 species
UACGUAGGGUGCAAGCGUUAUCCGGAAUUAUUGGGCGUAAAGAGCUCGUAGGCGGUUUGUCACAUCUGCUGUGAAAACUGGAGGCUCAACCUCCAGCCUGCAGUGGGUACGGGCAGACUAGAGUGCGGUAGGGGAGAUUGGAAUUCCUGGUGUAGCGGUGGAAUGCGCAGAUAUCAGGAGGAACACCGAUGGCGAAGGCAGGUCUCUGGGCCGAUACUGACGCUGAGGAGCGAAAGCGUGGGGAGCGAACAGG